rnacentral:pre_miRNA from 1 species
AGGCUGGGAUAAGUUGCAGUACUCUGUAGCCAGUAUUGCUCUUGUUUUGGUCCUGU